AUUAUGGAGAGUUUGAUCCUGGCUCAGGACGAACGCUGGCGGCAUGCCUAAUACAUGCAAGUCGAGCGAAUGACGAAGAAGCUUGCUUCUUCUGAUUUAGCGGCGGACGGGUGAGUAACACGUGGGCA
rnacentral:rRNA from 1 species